AGCAGCCGCGGUAAUUCCAGCUCCAAUAGCGUAUAUUAAAGUUGUUGCAGUUAAAAAGCUCGUAGUUGAAUUUCGGGAUCAAAGGAUCGGUCAUGCCUUGGUAUGUACUGGUUUUAUUGGUUCUCACCUUCUAAAGAACCAUAAUGUCAUUCAUUUGAUGUUAUGGGGAAUUAGGACUGUUACCUUGAAAAAAUUGAGUGUUUAAAGCAGGCUUACGCUUGAAUACAUUAACAUGGAAUAAUGAAAUAGGGCAUCAGAUUCUAUUUUGUGGUUUCUAGGAUUCGAUGUAAUGAUUAAUAGGGAUAGUUGGGGGCAUUAGUAUUCAAUUGUCAGAGGUGAAAUUCUUGGAUUUAUUGAAGACUAACUACUGCGUAAGCAUUUGCCAAGGAUGUU
rnacentral:rRNA from 1 species